UGUGCCAGCAGCCGCGGUAAUACAGAGGGUGCAAGCGUUAAUCGGAUUUACUGGGCGUAAAGCGUGCGUAGGCGGCUAUUUAAGUCGGAUGUGAAAGCCCUGGGCUCAACCUGGGAACUGCAUUCGAUACUGGGUAGCUAGAGAUCGGUAGAGGGCGGCGGAAUUCCGGGUGUAGCGGUGAAAUGCGUAGAUAUCCGGAGGAACACCGAUGGCGAAGGCAACCGCGCUGGGCCUGAUCUGACGCUGAGGCACGAAAGCGUGGGGAGCAAACAGGAUUAG
rnacentral:rRNA from 1 species